rnacentral:rRNA from 1 species
GACGAACGCUGGCGGCGUGCUUAACACAUGCAAGUCGAACGCUAACGCUUGGUGCUUGCCCUGGGCGGUUGAGUGGCGCACGGGUGAGUAAUAUGUGAGUAACCUGCCCUUGACUCUGGGAUAAGCCUGGGAAACUGGGUCUAAUACUGGAUACGACAUGUCACCGCAUGGUGGUGUGUGGAAAGGGUUCUACUGGUUUUGGAUGGGCUGAGGGCCCAUGAGCUUGUUGGUGGGGUAAUGGCACACCAAGGCGACGACGGGUAGCCGGCCUGAGAGGGUGACCGGCCACACUGGGCUUGGGACAGGGCCCGGACGCCUACGGGAGGAAGCGGUGGGGAAUAUUGGAAAAUGGGCGGAGGCCAGAUGCAGCGACGCCGCGUGGGGGAUGACGGCCUUCGGGUUGUAAACCUCUUUCAGCACGGAAGAAGCGAAAGGAACGGUACGGGCAGAGGAGGCGCGGGCUAACUACGU